rnacentral:rRNA from 1 species
AACGCGAAGAACCUUACCCGGGCUUGAACUACAGAUGGUAAGUCCCUAGAAACAGGGGCUGACCCGCAAGGGAGUCUGCAGAGGUGCUGCAUGGUUGUCGUCAGCUCGUGUCGUGAGAUGUUGGGUUAAGUCCCGCAACGAGCGCAACCCCUAUCUCAUGUUGCUAAUCCCGUAAGGGAUGCACUCUUGAGAAACUGCCUUCGAUAAGAAGGAGGAAGGUGGGGACGACGUCAAAUCCUCAUGGCCCUUAUGUCCGGGGCAACACACGUGUUACAAUGGCCGGUACAAUGGGAAGCAAUACCGCAAGGUGGAGCAAAACUCAUAAAGCCGGCCCCAGUUCAGAUUGUGGGCUGCAACUCGCCCACAUGAAGGCGGAAUCGCUAGUAAUCGCUGAUCAGCAGGCAGCGGUGAAUACGUUCCCGGGCCUUGUACACACCGACGCAC